CCGUCAAUUCCUUUGAGUUUCAACCUUGCGGUCGUACUCCCCAGGCGGAUUACUUAUCGCAUUUGCUUCGGCACGGACACUCUUCAUGCCCACACCCAGUAAUCAUCGUUUACAGCUAGGACUACCAGGGUAUCUAAUCCUGUUUGCUCCCCUAGCUUUCGCACUUCAGCGUCAGUUACCGUCCAGUGAACUAUCUUCAUCAUCGGCAUUCCUGCACAUAUCUACGAAUUUCACCUCUACUCGUGCAGUUCCGUCCACCUCUCCAGUACUCUAGCCACAUAGUUUCCAGGGCAGGCUUGCGGUUGAGCCGCAAGUUUUCACCCCAGACUUAUCUGGCCGCCUAGAUGCCCUUUAUGCCCAAUAAUUCCGGAUAACGCUUGCGACAUACGUAUUACCGCGGCUGCUGGCACGUAUUUAGCCGUCGCUUCUUCUGCAGAUACCGUCAUUUUUUUCUUCCCUGCUGAAAGCACUUUACAAUCCGAAAACCUUCAUCGUGCACACAGAAUUGCUGGAUCAGGGUUGCCCCCAUUGUCCAAUAUUCCUCACUGCUGCCUCCCGUAGG
rnacentral:rRNA from 1 species